rnacentral:lncRNA from 1 species
AUGGUUAUUUAUUUUUUUGAGACAGAGUCUUUCUGUCACCCCGGCUAGAGUGCAACGGCUCAAUCUCAACUCACUGAAAUCUCCACUUCCUGGAUUCAAGCGAUUCUCCUGCCUCAGCCUCCUGAGUAGCUGGGAUUACAGGCGCCCACCACCACGCCUGGCUAAUUUUUGUAUUUUUAGUAGAGAUGGGGUUCACCAUAUUGGCCAGGAUGGUCUCAAACUGCUGACCUCGGGUGAUCUGCCUGCCUCAGGCUCCCAAAGUGCUGGGAUUACAGGUGUGAGCCAAGGAUCUUUAAAUGAUGUUCUCACUGACUGGAUUGCUGUCCCCCAUCUCUCUCUCUCUCUCUCCCCUUUUCUUUGGGGACUGUACACAUUCACCCUGCCAAGCCUUACUUGCCUGUCUUUGACCCUUCCUGGACCUGUCCCUACCCCAGACAAAGCUAAUCCUCCUGUUAUUCUGUCUCCAUACCGACAUGUGGAUGGAUCUCUGUUCUGACAUGAAUUCAUGCACUGCCUCUCAUUCAUCCAACAGACUUUUCAGGAACACCUGCUGUGUGGCCGGCACUGUAGUAGGUGCCAGGGAUACAAAGAAGAAACUUUCAGGGCUCUUAGGAAGACAGGAAAACAAGUCAAUCAGCAAUGGUCCUAGCGUGAUGAGGAAACUGAGGUUCUGAAUGAUUAGAUGACUCACCCGAUAUCACACAGCUGGUAAGCACGUGAACCAGGAUGAGAAACCCAGGCUAUCUAUGCCAGUGCCCAGUUAACCAGUUCACCAGAACACCAGAAGCCGCCCCCAGGGCUGCAAGCUGACCAUGCCUGGGACACAGGAGGUUGCAGUGGUGAAGAUCAACAGGCGGGGCGAGGAGCAUCUCCGUCUCCCUCUGAAGACCAUUUGGAAGAGGGUGUGAGAGCUGCCGCCAGGCUUUCCCAGAGAACAGCUGGGCCUGGAAGGGGCGGUCCAGGUCCCAUAAUAACUGCUACCUGCUGCUGCAGCAAUUUUCCCUGCUGGGUGUUUCCAAGUCCGAGUCUCCUGGGGGAGGAGGCUGGGAGGAGGAGGAGGAGGAGGGCUGAUUCUCUAAACUCCCCCUGCUUCUCACCAAAGGUCUGUCCUUGGCCCAGCUUCCCUUCCGAAGGUUGAGUAAUCUCAAAAAAUUGCAGCCUGGCAUGAAAGAGCAGGCCUGCAGGCCAAGCCAGAUCACGUCCGCACGCGGGAUGCUUGGCCCACAUGCUCCUGUACACUUGUAACUGUUAAACCAGAGGACAAGAAGCAACAGAUGUCCUCAGAUCACCAAACCAGCAAAUGCGCAGAGCCAUGGUGGGCGUCUGGCCCCAGUGCUUGGGUGGCCCCUAACAUCAGAUUAAGGAAAAAAGACCUCUCCUCAGCUGGAACGUCCCACUUCCUCCUCCCUCCUCCUCACCAGUAUUUUUCUCUCUGCUUUGCCUGGAUUGGAGUCCUGACCUGGCUACUCCCAGCUGUGUGAACUGGGCCAGCAACUUAGCUCCGUUGUGCCUCAGUUUCUCCAUCUCUAAAUGAAGCGCUUAUUCCUCUCUCAUGGAGCCGUCGUGAGAAUUACGUGAAUGAAUACAGGCUGACUACUUUGAACAGUGCCUGGUACUGUUAGUUUUCUCUUGUGUUCUCUACCAGAAGUUUCAAUGCCAAUGCCAAUAUAAACAAAUGCAGGCUGGGCGUGGUGGCUCACGCCUGUAAUCCCAGCACUUUGAGAGGCCAAGGCGGGCGGAUCACCUGAGAUGAGGAGUUCGACACCAGCCUGACCAACGUGGUGAAACCCUGUCUCUAUUAAAAAUACAAAAAUUAGCCGGGCGUGGUGACGUGCACUGUAGUCCCAGUUACUCAGGAGGCUGAAGCAGGAGAAUCACUUGAACCCGCGAGGCAGAGAUUGCAGUGAGCCGAGAUCGCGCCACUGCACUCCAGCCUGAGUGACAGAGCGAGACUCCCUCUGAAAAAAACAAAACAAAUACAAUAUUAACACCCACCCCAUUUUACCCAAAAGGUAGUGUUGUUCUGAACACACUAUUCAGUAGCUAGCUUUGCGUAUUCAUGAUCUAUCUUGUAGAAUGUUCCAUACCAGCAUCUAGAGAGGGUCCUCAUCCUUUCUUUCUUUUACAGCUUCAUAGUCGUGCAUGGUUCACCAGCGUUAUUACCUAUUCAUCUAGCCCCUCACUGAUGGGGACUCAGGUUAGCCCUCACCUUCUGCCUUAAAAGUAAAGCUCAAUGAAUAACCCUGGAUAUAUUUUGCACACAUACAAGUGUAUCUAUUAUCUAUAGCAGUGACUUUCAGCCCCAGUCGAACGUAAGCAUCACUCAGGGGGCUUUACAAAAAUCCCCAUACGGGUGGCACACAACUCUAAUCCCAGCACUUUGGAAGGCCAAGGCGGGCAGAUCACUUGAGCUCAGGAGUUCCAGACCAGCCUGGGCAACAUGGCAAAAACCUGUCUCUACAAAAAAAUACAAAAAUUAGCCAGGCGUGGUGGCACGUGCCUGUAGUCUCAGCUACUUGAGUGGCUGAGGUGGGAGGAUCGCUUGAGCCUGGGAGGUCAAGGCUGCAGUGUGCUGAGAUUGCACCACUGUACUCCAGCCUGGGUGACAGAGUUUUUUGAGGCAGGCAAGACCCUGCCUUUAAAAAAAAAAAAAAAAAUGCCGAGUGCGGUGUCUCAUGCCUGUAAUCUCAGCACUUUGGGAGGCCGAGGCGGGCAGAUCACGAGGUCAGGAGUUCAAGACCAGCCUGCCAACCCCAUCUCUACUAAAAAUACAAACAUUAGCCAGGCGUGGUGGUACGCACCUGUAACCCCAGCUACUCGGGAUGCAGAGGUUGCAGUAAGCCGAGAUCACGCCAUUGCACUCCAGCCUGGGCAACAGAGUGAGAUUCCUUCUCAAAAAAAAAAAAAAAAAUCUCCAUACCCAGGGCAUAUCUCAGACCAAUUAUAUCAGAAUGUCUGGGUGUGGGAUCAGGGGACCCUGGUGAUUCCCAUGUCCAGCCAUGGCUGGGCACCACUGACCCUAUAGGGUAAAUGGAUUGAUCAAGGGCACACAGACUUGUAAAUUUGCUAGACAUUGCCAACUGGCCUCUACGGCGGCUCCAUGGGGGUUGUGUCAAUUCACACUCCCACCAGCAAUGUACAAGAGGACCUGGGUCUUCCACAGCCUCCCCAGCAAAGUAGGCUUGUCAAAGUUUUUUAUUUUUACCAAACUGCUAGUUUAUUUAUUUAUUUUUUAAAGGUAUCUCAAUUUUGCUUUAAUUUGCAUUUCUCUUACUAGGAGUUGAGGUUGAGCAUCUUUUUGCAUGUUUAAGAUCAUUUAAUCUGUCUGGUCAUAUUCUGUGCCCAUUGUUCUUUUCAUUUUCUUUUUUUUAAGUUUGACUUCUCUAUAUUUUAGCAAGACUAAUUCUUUACUUGAGUUGCAAACACUUUUUACUGCUUUGUCUUUUUAUGUUUACACUUUGCAUGAGGUGGUAUGGUAUGUUUUUUUUUUUUUUUCCUGGAUCACUUUUUAUGUGUUUGAAUGUAUUCAUCUUUUCAAUGGCUUUUGGAUUUGGAUUUGGGUAACAUGGUUUAUGGUUAGAAGGAAGCUCCCCAUAUUUUCUUCUGGCACUUUUGUGAUUUCCUUUUUUUGAGACAGAGUCUCGCUUUAUCGCUCAAGCUCGAGUGCAAUGGUGCGAUCUCAGCUCACUGCAACCUCUGCCCCCCGCCCCGGGUUCAAGCGAUUCUCCUGCCUCAGCCUCCCAAGUAGCUGGGAUUACAGUCGUCUGCCACCACGCCUGGCUAAUUUUUGUAUUUUUAGUAGAGAUGGGCUUUCCCCCUGUUAUCCAGGCUGGUCUCGAACUCCUGAGCUUAUGAGAUCCUCCCACUUCAGCCUCCCAAAAUGCUGGGAUUACAGGAGUGAUCCACUGCGACUGGUCUGAUUUCCUUUAUUUGUGUUUAAAUUUUUGAUCCUUUUGGAAUUUUCCCUGAUCAAAGGAUCCACCUUUGUUCUUCUUUCUAAUGGCCAAUUGUCCCAUUACCCUUGUCAAGGAGUAAGGUAGGAAUGGCUUUGUGGGGUAUGAAAUGUGAAUUUCUUUUUGUCUUAUUUAUAACAGCAUCUGCCUCUACUCUUCUGAAACUGUGUUCCUGUCCACCCACCCAUUCAACUACCCAUUGAUUGACUGAUUGAUUGAUUCAUUCAAUUUCUCGUUUUUGUUUUUUUGCUUGUUGAGAAUUCUAACAUUAAUUGGACAUUGUCCCUGACCUUUUGGGUUUCUAUUUAGGAUUUGUUUUUAUCACUUAAUAACCAACAAUGAUGACAUUUUAUCGAAUGUCUAGUAUAUUUGUUCCAAGUAUCAUUUCAAUUACACUUAAAACAAAGCAGUGAUGUCAGUUAUACUAUUUUUCCCAUUUGAGGAGUCAUUUAAAAGAGGUUUUGAGGCUUUCCAAUGGCCCCCAGUUGGAAAGUGGCAGUACUGGAUGCAAUUCAAGAGCCCAGUCUUCAGGAUCCUGCCUUUUUACCUACCUGGACGCUGUAACUGGUCUCUGUGGAAUGGCUGGAUGAGGGAAUGAAUGAAUGAGUCAGUGAAGGAAUGAGGAAGACAGAAUGAGUCAGCUCGUGCUUUCAGAGGAGCCCAAAGGGAGAGGUUAAGAUAGGAAUGCAAAUGACCAGAAUCCAGAGUAAACGCGAGCCCACCAGCGUUUUGGAAGCAGUCCACUUUCUACCCCCUCCUAUUUAAAAUGCUUCAUUCUUUCCAGUUCCUCCCCACCUAGAAUCCAUGGAACCAAACGCUGGGGUAGGGACAGUGGCCAGCCUGUCUCCUUGGGUUUGACGCAUUACAUCAUCCACGUGGAGGUCCCCUGUGGAGCUCUGCAGCCC